CUUUCUAUGGGGAUAAGCUGUUCUCAGUUGAUAUUUGGUUGAAAGAUUCUGUGGGUAGGAAGUUCUCCAACAUCUCAACAUUUGAUAUUAAAUGGGAGGUGUCCGAUGAAUCAAUAGCCAGUCCGAAAAGUGAUUCUGGCGUGACCACUCAUGAAAAUGCUGUAUCAGGAUACCGGAAAGUUUCAAGAGAUUUUCAAGAAUUUAAAAUGACGGGACAAACAGGAGAUUUAAAAGUGACAGCUAAAAUAUCUGGCUAUAAAGAAGAUAUAUUGUCGAAAUCAAACAUUCCUCAAAAUCUAAUAAAAGAUUUUAAAGAAAUUUCAAAUUCCAUUGACCUAAAACUUGUUAGCCUACGAGAGACCAAUGCUGAACUAUAUUCGAAUAGAGACCAAGAAAAACAGGUAAAACCUCACUACUGCAAUUA